AAAUAUACACAUAUAAAAAAAAGGAACAAGCCAAUAUCUUUAGCGCUUCUCCAGUAUCUCCUUCUCAAAAACGAACGAUCCUUUUGAAAUGUGGUGUGGGAGAAGGCUUUUGUGAAUGCCACGGACUGCUUGAAAAACAAACAAAAGGGUUUUGGAGCAAAUUAAGCCAAAGCGGUCUUCAGAAGACCAGGUGACCGGACUUAGAGGAGCAUAUUUUGGACACGUCAUCAGGAGGACCGAUUCUCCGGAGAAGACGCUAACGCUAGGAAAAGUCCAGGGAAAACGUGGAAGAGGCAGACCGGCGGCUAGAUGGCCGGAGACCAUUUUAACGACGAUAACAGAAGAACCGUUAACAAGGUUAGGGAUUACGGCAGAAGACAGGACGUUCUGGAGAAGACAGAUCCACGGAGUGGCUACGAAUCGGAAACGACUCGACGGCACUCGAUACGAAUAAUAAAGACCAACGGUACGGGGUAGAAAGCUUGAGACCGUUAACUCUCCGUCCCUAACGGAAGCUUUACUUUCCACUGGGAUCUCCCUAAAAACGAACCCCCACAACUGUGGUGGAAAAGUGAGUGCAAAUCGGAGCUACACAGCCUAGGUGCCUUUUCAAUAUUCGUUGUGUAUUUCGUGGCUGACGCAGAAGCAGACCCUGAGGUGAUUACACCACACCACGCCUCAUCUGACAUACCACUCACUCUCUGCUGGUCCCUUCCUAAAACAGACACUUUUCUUAGUCACGGCUGAUCCUACCCACCCGGGAUGGUGUUUGAGGAGUGUCACCUUUGGAAAUAACCUCCCCAACCCACUUCUGACCUCAGGAAUCCCAACGAAAAAUAUGGGCCGGAUGAACUGGCCAACUGUGAACUGCUCGGUUUAAUGCUUUUAGGUGCAGGAAUUCCAGACUCAUGAGGGGAAAAAAAAGGCAUUUUAAAGUGAUAUUGGUGAAUGCCCCCUUGUUUGAUUAAGUUCUUGAAUAGAUCUUAAAUUCUGAUUUUGGUCUAUUACACCUCAGGUUACAGUCAAAUUGUAGCGAGCAGUUCACGUUGAGCAAACUGUUUUUGAUCGUAGCCACUUCACGCUUUAGUAAAUUUACAUUAUUAUAUGUUAAAGUAUUGCACUGUGUCUUUUUACGAGCCUUUUCAUAGAUUGCCCACAAUGCCUAAAAACGUCAUAUGAGGCUGAACUUUCAUUCUAACAAUUAAAUCCAUAAAAAUUUGG